CCAGCUUGUGGGGAGCGAUUGUAAUAUACCAGAUUUUGGUAUAAAAAUAAUAAUAAAUAAAAAUAGUGUGAGAAACUAUUUUUAUUAGAUUUAUAGUGGUAAAACAUAAGUCAGAGGUGACUUGUGCUGAAAUCGGAAUUAAAACAGAAAAUCUAGAAUUUUCUGUUGGAGACGGGACAGAAAAAUAAGCAGAAAAUGCANNN
rnacentral:lncRNA from 1 species